rnacentral:misc_RNA from 1 species
AGCCAUUCCAAGACCAGCAUCAGAGAGAAUGGAGAUUGACUUCUCUAUAAUUUUGGGCAUAUGCACAUGCCAUCUGAAUGAGAUUAGAGACCAAAUCAGACCAAUGAGGCUCGAAUACGUGUUUGGGUUACGAAUAAGCUUACGCCAAACCAUGAUUAAGAUCAAACGAGUCAUAACACUAGCCGGAGGCAUCUGUUUUCCCAUACCAGCAUCUUGUACUCCAGCGAGCUUGGGGUGUAGCUCCGAUGUAGAGCUAGACCCUAGUUUAGUCAGUCCAGUGGGUCCCUCUUUUUCGCCUUUUUCUUCAUCGCCAUCUUUUCCACCACCAUUGGCACCUCCAAAAGUGAAAUCCUCACCACCAAAUUCCCCUAUUUGCGGAAUGGCUUUACUAUCUCCAUUUUGAGUAUGAUCAGAAACCAACAUUCGAAUUUCUUUAGCUCCAUCGGAUCGACCCGAUUGUUCGUUGGCACUGAAAUCAUUGCCACCGAACACAUGGAGGCCACCGGCCUCCGACACCGGAGAAUUACUCGAACUCCAUACAAACAUGUGAAGUUCCUUAGCAUCAUGAUUAUUAGCUUUAGCAUUUGGCUGUUGGUGCUGCUGCUGUUGCUGUUGUACUUCCUGCUUCUGCGUUUGUACAUU